GCCAACGGCCAUACCACGUUGAAUACACCGGUUCUCGUCCGAUCACCGAAGUUAAGCAACAUCGGGCGUGGUUAGUACCUGGAUGGGUGACCGCCUGGGAACACCGCGUGCUGUUGGCU
rnacentral:rRNA from 1 species